UUUCCGUAGGUGAACCUGCGGAAGGAUCAUUAUUGUAUAACCGAGGUGCGAGGGCUGUCGCUGACCCGACAUGUCGUGCACGCCCGAGUGCCCUCACACACAUCCAUCUCACCCCUAUGUGCACCACCGCGUGGGUCCCCCUUUGGCUUGUUCGGAGGGGGGCUUACGUUUUCACACAAACUUUGUAUGCAGUGUAGAAUGUAUUUUUUGUUUUUGCGAUCACGCAAUCAAUACAACUUUCAACAACGGAUCUCUUGGCUCUC
rnacentral:misc_RNA from 1 species